rnacentral:tRNA from 5 species
GGGCCUGUAGCUCAGCUGGGAGAGCGCCUGCAUGGCAUGCAGGAGGUCGCAAGUUCGAUCCUUGUCAGGUCCACCA